rnacentral:rRNA from 1 species
GUGGGGAAUUUUGGACAAUGGGCGAAAGCCUGAUCCAGCCAUGCCGCGUGCAGGAUGAAGGCCUUCGGGUUGUAAACUGCUUUUGUACGGAACGAAAAGACUCCUUCUAAUAAAGGGGGUCCAUGACGGUACCGUAAGAAUAAGCACCGGCUAACUACGUGCCAGCAGCCGCGGUAAUACGUAGGGUGCAAGCGUUAAUCGGAAUUACUGGGCGUAAAGCGUGCGCAGGCGGUUAUAUAAGACAGAUGUGAAAUCCCCGGGCUCAACCUGGGAACUGCAUUUGUGACUGUAUAGAUAGAGUACGGUAGAGGGGGAUGGAAUUCCGCGUGUAGCAGUGAAAUGCGUAGAUAUGCGGAGGAACACCGAUGGCGAAGGCAAUCCCCUGGACCUGUACUGACGCUCAUGCACGAAAGCGUGGGGAGCAAACAGGAUUAGAAACCCGAGUAGUCC